CUACUUCGUACAAGUGCAAGGCUAAGUUCGGUGCAGUUACGCAUAAUAAAGUUAAAGUUCAACAUAUAUAUUAAAAGGAGGAGAUGGACCCAAUCAAUUUCUCAGGGCAGCCAUCAGAAAAGUUUUUACCGACAAUUUGUCUUCCAACUACAGCUGGAAGGGAACAAAAACUAAGCCGAGUGCCGAAAAGUGCUAUCUUGUAACUGCAAUAAAAAACAUUUGUCAUAUAAAGUACAAAUGCACUGACAAAGAUAUGAACGCCGUCUUGCAAAAGCAUUUUGUGCACGCAAACGAUCGACUGGC